ACGGGCUUGGAAUCCUCGGCGGGGAAAGAAGACCCUGUUGAGCUUGACUUCAGUUAGGCAUUGUGAAGCGACAUGAAANGGUGUAGCAUAGGUGGGAGUGCAGCAAUGCACGCAAUUGAAAUACCACUACUUUCAUCGUUUCUUUACUUAUUCAGUGAAGCGGGAAACGGGGCCCUCGCGGGCUCAGUUUCUGGCUUUAAGUCGGGCCGUCCCCGGAGAGAUUCGGGGGUCGGCGGCCCGGCGACCCGCUCUGAAGACAGUGCCUGGCGGGAAGUUUGACUGGGGCGGUACAUCUGUCAAAAGGUAACGCAGGUGUCCUAAGGCGAGCUCAGCGAGGACGGAAACCUCGCGUAGAGCAUAAGGGCAAAAGCUCGCUUGAUUCUGAUUUUCAGUACGAUUACGGACCGUGAAAGCGUGGCCCAACGAUCCUUUUGAAGCAGCAGGGCGGCGCCCCGGCUUCGCGGCCGGUCGGUGCCGUCGCAUCUCGCGAGUUUCGAGCAAGAGGUGUCAGAAAAGUUACCACAGGGAUA
rnacentral:rRNA from 1 species